rnacentral:rRNA from 1 species
GACGAACGCUGGCGGCGUGCUUAACACAUGCAAGUCGAACGGAAAGGCCCUGCUUUUGUGGGGUGCUCGAGUGGCGAACGGGUGAGUAACACGUGAGUAACCUGCCCUUGACUUUGGGAUAACUUCAGGAAACUGGGGCUAAUACCGGAUAGGAGCUCCUGCUGCAUGGUGGGGGUUGGAAAGUUUCGGCGGUUGGGGAUGGACUCGCGGCUUAUCAGCUUGUUGGUGGGGUAGUGGCUUACCAAGGCUUUGACGGGUAGCCGGCGUGAGAGGGUGACCGGCCACAUUGGGACUGAGAUACGGCCCCGACUCCUACGGGAGGCAGCAGUGGGGAAUAUUGCACAAUGGGCGGACGCCUGAUGCAGCAACGCCGCGUGCGGGAUGACGGCCUUCGGGUUGUAAACCGCUUUCGCCUGUGACGAAGCGUGAGUGACGGUAAUGGGUAAAGAAGCACCGGCUAACUACGUG